UCCAUACUCCUACUUUAUUCAUCAUUUUUUAAUAUUUCACAAUUUUUUAAACCCUUAUUCAUCAACUCCUCUUUAGUUAAUAAUUCAUUCUUUAUUUAAAUCUCUAUCAUCAUUGAAUAAAAUUACUUUACCUUAUUAAGAAGCCCCUGCUAACUACGUUCCAGCAUCCGCGGUAAUACGUAUUUUUCAAUCUUUAUCAGGAUUUACUGGGUGUAAAGGGAGAGUAGAAGGCAGUGCAAGUAUGGAGUGAAAGGAGGGGGAUAAAAAAAAGGAAUGAUAUGGAAAAUGUAAGGAUGGAGUGAAGGAGAGGUAAGUGGAAUUCCUAGUGUAGCGGUGAAAUGAGUAGAUAUUAGGAGGAAAAAAAGUGGAGAAGGAGGAUUAAUGGAAUGUAAAUGAAGUUGAGGAUAGAAAGAGUGGGGAGAAAAAAGGAUUAGAUAAAAAAGUA
rnacentral:rRNA from 1 species